CACCCUACGGGAGGGCAGCAGUGGGGAAUAUUGCACAAUGGGGGAAACCCUGAUGCAGCGACGCCGCGUGAGUGAAGAAGUAUCUCGGUACGUAAAGCUCUAUCAGCAGGGAAGAAAAAAAGUCUUUGGCUUUGGACGGUACCUGACUAAGAAGCCCCGGCUAACUACGUGCCAGCAGCCGCGGUAAUACGUAGGGGGCAAGCGUUGUUCGGAAUGACUGGGCGUAAAGGGUGCGUAGGCGGUGUAGCAAGUUAGAAGUGAAAUACCUAGAGCUUAACUCAGGUGCUGCUUCUAAAACUGCUAUA
rnacentral:rRNA from 1 species